rnacentral:rRNA from 1 species
AUACGUAGGGGGCAAGCGUUGUCCGGAAUCAUUGGGCGUAAAGGGCGCGUAGGCGGAUCAUUAAGUCUGGUGUGAAAACUUGGGGCUCAACCCCAAGCCUGCAUCGGAAACUGUUGAUCUUGAGGACAGGAGAGGAAAGUGGAAUUCCACGUGUAGCGGUGAAAUGCGUAGAGAUGUGGAGGAACACCAGUGGCGAAGGCGACUUUCUGGACUGUAACUGACGCUGAGGCGCGAAAGCGUGGGGAGCGAACAGGAUUAGAUACCCUGGUAGUCCACGCCGUAAACGAUGAGUGCUAGGUGUAGAGGGUAUCGACCCCUUCUGUGCCGCAGUUAACACAAUAAGCACUCCGCCUGGGAAGUACGAUCGCAAGAUUAAA